GAAUCCAGAUCCUUGGACUCCCAGAACAAUUUCUUUCCACUACACCAGGCUUUUCAUGCUUACUGUGCUCUUGCUCUGGUGGGAACAUGACUGGCAAUGUUAAAAAAUUUUGAGUGCAAGCCACUAGCAUUAUAAUCUUUUCCUCCACACCAGAUUUUGACCCUGAAGUCUCAGGACAGAUUCUUGUCAGCUAUUCUUGACAGGAGAUUAUAUCUACCUCUCACCAGCUCACAGCUUUCCACAGAAAUAGCAACAAAAUUUUUACCACUCCUACGGCAACAGAGUAGGAAGAAAUGUUCACUAUUCCAUUGAUUCAUAAUCUCAAAACUCAGUAUUUGGUAUGUAAUUCAUCAUGUAGUUAAUGUUUUAAAAUGUAUGCU
rnacentral:lncRNA from 1 species